rnacentral:rRNA from 1 species
UACGUAGGUGGCGAGCGUUGUCCGGAAUUACUGGGCGUAAAGGAUGCGUAGGCGGAUAUUUAAGUGGGAUGUGAAAUCCCCGGGCUCAACCCGGGAACUGCAUUCCAAACUGGGUAUCUAGAGUGCAGGAGAGGAAAGCGGAAUUCCUAGUGUAGCGGUGAAAUGCGUAGAUAUUAGGAGGAACACCAGUGGCGAAGGCGGCUUUCUGGACUGUAACUGACACUGAGGCAUGAAAGCGUGGGUAGCAAACAGG